UACGGAGGGUGCAAGCGUUAUCCGGAUUCACUGGGUUUAAAGGGUGCGUAGGUGGGCUGGUAAGUCAGUGGUGAAAUCUCCGGGCUUAACUCGGAAACUGCCAUUGAUACUAUCAGUCUUGAAUACCGUGGAGGUCAGUAGAAUAUGUCAUGUAGCGGUGAAAUGCUUAGAUAUGACAUAGAAUACCAAUUGCGAAGGCAGCUGGCUACACGAAUAUUGACACUGAGGCACGAAAGCGUGGGGAGCAAACAGG
rnacentral:rRNA from 1 species